UACGGACGGGGCGAGCGUUGUUCGGAAUCAUUGGGCGUAAAGGGCGCGUAGGUGGUUCUGUAUGUCUACCGUGAAAGCGUACGGCUCAACUGUAUUUUGUCGGUAGAAACUGCAGGACUUGAGGCUGGGAGGGGCUGGUGGAAUUCCCUGUGUAGCGGUGAAAUGCGUAGAGAUGGGGGAGAACACUCGUGGCGAAGGCGGCCAGCUAGACCAGUUCUGACACUGAGGCGCGACAGCGUGGGGAGCAAACAGG
rnacentral:rRNA from 1 species